rnacentral:rRNA from 1 species
UACGAAGGGGGCUAUCGUUGCUCGGAAUGACUGGGCGUAAAGGGCGCGUAGGCGGACUGCACAGUCAGGCGUGAAAUUCCUGGGCUUAACCUGGGGACUGCGUCUGAGACGUGUGAUCUAGAGUGAGGAAGAGGGUCGUGGAAUUUCCAGUGUAGAGGUGAAAUUCGUAGAUAUUGGAAAGAACCCCGGUGGCGAAGGCGGCGACCUGGUCCUUGACUGACGCUGAGGCGCGAAAGCGUGGAUAGUAAAAAGG